CAGGAUGCAUUCCACGAACACGCAUUACCCUGUUCGGUGCCCACAACGCUGACAGCCCCAAGGCUUAGAGGAGCAGGGUCUGUGGGGCACCAGGAAAGAAACUGGAAGCUACUGCUGUGUUCCUCAAGCACUUGAUUUUUUUUUUUUUUCUUGGCGCAAGUUGCUCUCGGAUGCCAUAGGUGGGGGAUGGAGUGGGGGCGGGGGGGCGGGGAGAACCCACCUAGAGCCGCCCCUUGGCACUGCUACGGUGCCCCAGGGCUCUGCGUUUUUAUACCCCAAUUUCGAAAGCAUGCUGCCUUGCCCCUCCGCUCCCUAUGGAGCAGACUCACCUUCAAAGUGGGGGUGGGGGGCGGAGGGAAAAAGAAAGAAAGCAAAAGAAAAGAAAUCCGAACUGAAGGUUAACUUUCCCAGCCAGGUGACUUCCCCGUUAAAGGUGCAGUGGUCGCGGAUCAUGUCUUCAGGCGAGUUCGGCCUGGCGGAGAACACGAAACCCGAAGACGCCAGUCGCAGAACGUAAAAUCCACGGGGCAGUGGUAACUCCAGGCGCACUCCUCGGAAACAGAGUUGCAGUCUCAGGUCCACGCCGUCUGGGGACCGCUCGGCGCUCGGAUACUCCAACUAGAUGCUCAGGGGAGCCCCCGCCCGCGCGCCCCACGGAGCCAGAGGCUGAGACCGGGGCAGAGUCCUAGUUGGCUAGGAAGCUGAGACCCGGAUCUCGGAGUGUCCUCGUUUCUAGGAGGUCAGAUGACAGGACAACUUAUCCUGACCGGUGGGAAUCGGAGCAGGAAAGCAUCUAUAGGAGCCAAGGGUCUCUCAAAGAGAGCACCUUUCCCAGCAUUCCCACCGAUCAGCACGAGGGACUCGGCCAGAAAUGUGUCCCUCCACAUCCUGAUUCCGUUCUGGCUGUAAAGAUAAAAGUUUUCUCUCAGCCAGUA